CCUACGGGAGGCUGCAGUGGGGAAUAUUGGGCAAUGGACGCAAGUCUGACCCAGCAACGCCGCGUGAAGGAAGAAGGCUUUCGGGUUGUAAACCUCUUUUAAGGGGGAAGAGCAGAAGACGGUACCCCUUGAAUAAGCCACGGCUAACUACGUGCCAGCAGCCGCGGUAAUACGUAGGUGGCAAGCGUUGUCCGGAUUUACUGGGUGUAAAGGGCGUGCAGCUGGAUAGACAAGUCAGAUGUGAAAUCAACGGGCGCAACCCGUAAACUGCAUUUGAAACUGUUUCCCUUGAGUGUCGGAGAGGUAAGCGGAAUUCCUGGUGUAGCGGUGAAAUGCGUAGAUAUUAGGAAGAACACCGAUGGCGAAGGCGGAUUACUGGACGAUAACUGACAGUGAGGCGCGAAAGCGUGGGGAGCAAACAGGAUUAGAUACCCUAGUAGUC
rnacentral:rRNA from 1 species